rnacentral:rRNA from 1 species
UACGUAGGGUGCAGGCGUUAAUCGGAAUUACUGGGCGUAAAGCGUGCGCAGGCGGUUUGCUAAGACAGGUGUGAAAUCCCCCGGGCUUAACCUGGGAACUGCGCUUGUAACUGGCAAGCUGGAGUGUGGCAGAGGGGGGUGGAAUUCCACGUGUAGCAGUGAAAUGCGUAGAGAUGAUGGAGGAACACCGAUGGCGAAGGCAGCCCCCUGGGCUAACACUGACGCUCAUGCACGAAAGCGUGGGGAGCAAACAGG